rnacentral:rRNA from 1 species
UACGUAGGGUGCGAGCGUUGUCCGGAAUUAUUGGGCGUAAAGAGCUCGUAGGCGGUUUGUUGCGUCUAUCGUGAAAACCUGCAGCUUAACUGUGGGCUUGCGGUGGAUACGGGCAGACUUGAGUUCGGUAGGGGAGACUGGAAUUCCUGGUGUAGCGGUGAAAUGCGCAGAUAUCUGGAGGAACACCGGUGGCGAAGGCGGCAUCCUGGACCGGCAUUGACGCUGAGGCGCGAAAGCCAGGGGAGCAAACGGG